GCUGGGAUAGCACAGUUGGCAGAGCAUGACACUCUCAAUCUCAGGGUUGUGAGUUUGAGCCCCUCAUUGGGCU